UGGAGCAGGACGAACAGGGACCUUUUGUGCAUUGGGCACUGUCCUGGAAAGGGUCAAGGCUGAAGGGAUUCUGGAUGUCUUUCAGACAGUGAAGAGCUUGAGGUUACAAAGGCCGCAUAUGGUCCAAACACUGGAACAGUAUGAAUUCUGCUACAAGGUGGUUCAGGAAUAUAUUGACGCCUUUUCAGACUACGCCAACUUCAAGUAACGAAAAUCACACAACAGAAGAGUUGCCUUCUUUAAUACUUUGUAAUAUUCUGUUUGUUAAUAUCCCCCUACCCCCCAAAGUGUAUAUAUCUUAACUGUUCUAGAGGGUUGGUACCAUAAGAUUACUAUUAGCUGGAGAUUUUAUAUGUAGCAAAAGUGUUAGAAAGAGAUUGUAGGCACUUUUUUUUCCAAUGUUUUAUUGGAGAAUUAAAUAGCUUGAUAUUUGGAUUAAUACUGUCAAAUCUCUCUCCUGGAGAGUUGAUGUAGGCUGGUUUUGUUUUGUAAAUUUUUUUUUCCUUGAGAGGGAGUAAAGCCUUUAUAAAAACCAAAUGAGAUUCUUCA